rnacentral:rRNA from 1 species
AUUGAACGCUGGCGGCAGGCCUAACACAUGCCAGUCGAACGGUAACAGGAAGAAUCUUGCUUCUUUGCUGACGAGUGGCGGACGGGUGAGUCAUGUCUGGGAAACUGCCUGCUGGAGGGGGAUAACUACUGGAAACGGUAGCUAAUACCGCAUAACGUCGCAAGACCAAAGAGGGGGACCUUCGGGCCUCUUGCCAUCGGAUGUGCCCAGAUGGGAUUAGCUAGUAGGUGGGGUAACGGCUCCCCUAGGCGACGAGUCCUAGCUGGUGUGAGGGGGUGACCGGCGACACUGGAAGUGGGACACGGUCAAGACUCCUACGGGAGGCCGCAGUGGGGAAUAUUGCACAAUGGGCGGAAGCCUGAUGCAGCCAUGCCGCGUGUAUGACGAAGGCCUUCGGGUUGUAAAGUACUUUCAGCGGGGAGGAAGGGAGUAAAGUUGAUACCUUUGCUCAUUGACGGUACCCGCAGAAGAAGCACCGGCUAACUACGUG